rnacentral:lncRNA from 1 species
CUACCCAACCGAGUAUGCAAGCGUAUCUCUGUCGAGCUCAAUCAGGCUCUCACAGGCUAUAGUCAAGUAAAUAGGGUUUAACAACUGAACUCACGUGCCCUCGGCACAAUCUGAUGUAAGAACAGCAAUCUGGGUCCACCGUCAACCUCAAUGGCACCCGAUAAUCCGGAACAGCCUAAACACUGCUGUAAAAAUACACUUGACACCUCAGCAUAAGCGUAAAAAUAUUCUGCACUAUUCUAGGUAUCCACCGCCCACAAAUUGCGGCGAUACAGACAAAUUACGACUCCUAGAGCUAAAUCCGAUAGUUUGUUCAACUCGCGAUGUAGAAACGUCAAUUUUCUCCUAAGUCAAAUCUAAGUCCAAUAUGCAUGAUUUAGCUAAUUUUUCUGAGCUCCAAUUUCAAUUCAUAGGCAUGAAAUUCCAAGAAUUGAGCUAAAUAAAGUACUAAACAAAGCUACAAAUACAUGCAGUUGACAUAUAUAGCAUUAGAAGGAAACCCGUAGAAUUCGGUAAGCAUCACUUUAACCCACCUCGAAAGCUACUCCAAAUCCGGCGCGAAGUCGAAACAGCGGAAUCACACGCUCGCCCGACCUCCUAACACAGCAACUACAACGCUCGUGUACACGAACGACUCCCCGGCGCAACGUCGGCAUUGAUCCGAACUCCACCCGAAGCCUCCCUCAAUCGUACGGAUCCACCCUAGAUAGAGAGAGGAGCAACAGCCGAAAUGCUCCCUCUCUGCCUCUCUAACAUUAUAUGGAAAGAAGGGAUAAGGGUGAAGUCCAUGAGGUAAGAAAUUACCAAAACACCCCUUACCUAUCCUGGUGUACCGGUACAACAUCGAUGUUGUACCGGUACACGCAGCAGAGAUGGCAAACCCGAGAGCAGUUGUGCAGGAAAAUUAUAUAAAGGUACCGGUACACUCUUUUGUACCGGUACAAAAUGCAGAAAAUCUGCAAUUUGCAGAUUCCAAUGCUAACUUCCUGCUCUCGUGUUGCACUGAGUCCGAUUUGCGUCUAUUUCGCAUCAACAGGACUCGGACUUGUCCCGACACUUUCUAGAGCUGUCGACAAGCCUGAAAUGCUGAAUUCCAGGGGUACUAUAGGGUUAAUUUCAUUCGUAUCCCUCUAAAUGUUCAAAAUAUCAUAAAUAUUCAUGUAAAUUUUAUUAUAUCACAAAUAUUCUUACAAAUACUUACUAUCUUAUAAAUAUGUCUUCACCGUUAACUUCUGUCUCUCUACAAAACAUCUAUUUUAG